GGAGUGUGUGUGUGUGUGUGUGUGUGGGGAGUGUGUGGUGAGUGUGGGAGUGUGUGUGUGUGUGGGAGUGUGUGUGUGUGGGAGUGUGUGUGUGUUGUGUGUGGGAGUGUGUGUGUGUGGGAGUGUGUGUGUGUGUGUGUGUGGGAGUGUGUGUGUGUGUGUGUGUGUGUGUGUGUGUGUGUCUGGGGAGUGUGUGGUGAGUGUGGGAGUGUGUGUGUGUGUGGGAGUGUGUGUGUGUGGGAGUGUGUCUGUGAGUGUAUGAGAGUGUGCUGUAAAGAGGAUGCUAGAAACAGGGUUAAUGUUCCAGGAAAGUUCCAGAUCGUAUCAGGAGCUGCGGAUGGGUUCCAGCUUCACUGGCUAUCAGUGAUGAUCUGAUGAUUUAAAUGGAAGAAAUAGGUGAAGGAGAAUGGCCUGACCGGUUCAAGCUGGACAGAAGACUAUGUGUAACUCAAAACAGAAGAGCAUCUCAGAACACACAGUUUCACGCAGGGUUAGAAGGAGGUUCCUAAUAAUUUGGUUGUCGAGUGUAUCUCAGAAGAAAAGCAUGCGCUGCAGUACGCUCAGUGUGAUUAUAUUUGAGAUCUAUUUUACAGAUUAGACUGAACCUAUCGGAGAUAGAUGUGGAUAAUGGCCGGCGGAGAGCGAACAGCGAUGCGACAGCAGCAGAGUGGCUGAGGCAGAUGGUAGCGGUGGAAAAGCUGAUACAGCGAUACAAACCUGACUCAGUGAGAAGAUCUCGGAGCUGGACGAACCUGUACGACAUCCCGGAGCUGGAGAUGUUGAAGAAGAAGAAGGCAGAAUUGGACAUGGCUGUAAGGAGCAGGGGGAUCUCGGAGCAGGACACAAUCGGCCAGUGGUGGAGUUUGAAGAGGCCAGAACUGAACACGAUCAUAGAGCGCUGGAGAAAGUUUGACGCAGAACCGGACGUGGUGAUCCCGGCAGAACGAUGUUAUAGCUAUCCUUGACAGAACUUUGACAGCAAUAUCAGCAGUGUGUUCAGGUUUGAUCUACCUGCACUGGUCGAUUUUGUUAUUUCUGCUGUGAGCUGGCUGUAUUUGUGUUCUGUAAACAACGCACACUGUGAAUGAAAAAACAACAACAACCAGCUCAUAGUGUGAGUUCCUGCAUACUGCAGUUCACUCGUAGCCUUGUGAAGUACUUGAGCCCUGUUACUGGGGCGUUUACGGAUAUAAACUGAACCCAUUUAAUCAGCCCGAGAGAUUGCACAUUUUGGUUUACUUUAUUCGGUGUUUAGUUAUAUAUCCAGUAACACUAUGUGUGCAACACUAGCAACAAAACUACACAUCAGGUUUACAAAGCAUGACUUGCUCUGUGAUUAUACAAGGUGAUGAGCACAUUGUUCACUUGUUAACUUCCGUAACGCAACUGAAUCCAUUCAGUUAUAAUCAGAUAAUCAGACAAUCAGAUAAUCAGACUGACAAAACGUCUGCAGUGCUCCUGCUUCAUCCCAUCAUCAUCAUCAAAACAGAGAGGAGCGCUUACACACAUUACAAAAGAGCUCCUCUAACAAAGAAUAACAGUAGGUUUAACAUUAAGAUAGAAGUCCCCUUCCCUCCCGGCCCUAAAUCUCACACACGUAGUAUUUUAAAACACUUUUUUAUCCAUGUUGUCAGGGACGUGUGCGUUACCAUGCAGCUGUAAUAAAUAUAGCGCAACUGUGUGUAACUGUGUGUAAAUAUAGUGUAAGUGUGUAAGACAUUUGAUUGUUUUUAUAUUCUGGAAUAUUUUUAACCAAAAUAAAUCUAUCUUCUGUAACUUUGAGUUUUGAUAAGCAGUUAUUUCAGUGUGUGUUAAUGUGUGUGUGUGUGUGUGUGUGUGUGUGUGUGUGUGUGUGUGUGUGUGUGUUGUUAUUGACUCAGUGUUUAAUUUACAGGGCGAUCAGGCGAAUCUCAUGAAGAGUUAAAGGAUCAAAUUAAUUUAGGGCUCAGUUUGAAUUUUAUUAUC
ensembl:lncRNA